AGCCUAUUUUUUGAUAGAUAAACUGCACUGAUCCAUGGAGGGAAGCUAGAUGGUAGGUUUCCAAAGAAAUUGUUCUCUGACAAAUCCAAGGUAUAAAGAGAAGUCAUAUUCCUUAUCCAACUAGGGAUGAUACCAAAGAGAUGAUUAUCGCUCACAUCCAACAUUUCCAACAUUGUGCAAUUUCUUAUGCUAUGUGGGAUACUCCCAUUGAAUUGAUUGCCAUCCAACAAUA
rnacentral:misc_RNA from 1 species